AGAUAAGAAGCAAAAAAUGCGUUUAGUUUCGACCUAAAAAUUUGAUUUACUUAAUCCUUAUCUU
rnacentral:tRNA from 1 species